CGCGCUCGGGAAGCUGCUCCACACCGCGCCACGCCGUCGCCCGCGCCGCUACCCCUCAAUCUCCGCCGGAGGAUCGUGAUCGCCAUUCCCCGCUCUUUUUUUUCAUUUUUCUUUAAUAAUUAAAGAGGAAAAAAAAAUCCACCUCUUCUGCCUGUUGUUGGAUUACGGGGAAAUUUUAAAAAUUUUUUAUUAAAAAAAAUAAAAGAAAAGGACUCCGUCACUGUUACAUUUUUUCCCUCGUUUUACAAUUCUGGUGUGUGACCGAGACAGCCCACGGGAGACGCUGCCGUGAGGUGGGCCAGCUCGCAGGGAGAGCACCGAGGCAGCCUCGAGGGCCAGUGCGCCGCCAAGGACAAAAGGAAGCCCGCGCCGCGAGCGAGCCGCACACCGUCCGUCCCUCCCGAGCAGCAUGAAGAAGACCGAAAUGGGAAGGUUCAACAUCUCCCCGGAUGAGGACAGCAGCAGUUACAGCUCCAACAGUGACUUCAACUACUCAUACCCCACCAAGCAGGCUGCUCUGAAAAGCCAUUAUGCCGACGUGGAUCCCGAAAACCAGAACUUUUUACUUGAAUCAAAUUUGGGGAAGAAGAAGUACGAAACAGACUUUGUAAGUUAACAGUACUGUUAUGUGCUUGGCUUUAUGGAGUCAAAGAAUAGUGUUACUUUUAGAUUUCAAAUCUGACUUGCCCGAAGCUGGUUUUUCUCCUUUUAAUUAUUGUUAUAUGUUUGGUUAUCGUUUCCCUCUGUGUAGCAUCCAGGUACUACUUCCUUUGGAAUGUCAGUAUUUAAUCUGAGCAAUGCGAUUGUGGGCAGUGGAAUCCUUGGGCUUUCUUAUGCCAUGGCUAAUACUGGAAUUGCUCUUUUUAUGUAAGUAUGUGUAAGUGGUGCCUGCCGUGCAGGGCAGUUAAUAUGAUAAACAUAUUCUUGGCUCCAGGAAAAAAAAAAAAAAAAAAAAGCAACUUGCGGUUCAAAGUAGUCGGUGUUAAAAAUAAUUUAAGCUUGAAAGUAUGGGAAAUCCGAAUCUCUGUUUUACUGCUAUUAUUGUACGUCCUCGUGCAAGCAAGUUAGACAGAACGUGGGAUAGCGCUUAAAACUGACCGGUUAAGGCCAGCCUUUCCAGAAGGUAUUGUUAAUUGUAAAAUAGAUGGGUUUUAUAAGUUGACGGUCUCGCCCUAGAACCUGUGACAUAAGGAAAAGAAGGUUGGAGGUGUAUAAGGUGUGGUGGUAUUUACCUAGCCCAGAUCAUAUUUGUCUAAGAGCAAGUGAGUCAUAAUUUUCUGGAUGCUAAAGAGCAAAUUCACUUUUUAAAAAGUCUUUCCGGAUACAUAGGAUUGGUGCCUGACUUCUAAGUAAGAGUCUACUAAUUUUUUUUUAAGUUAGUUGGCUGAACCUCCAGAAGUCAUGUUUUGGAGGGUUACCCAUUUGGGGGUCACUUACCCGUGGUUGAUAUGAUGGAAGAGUGGUAGACUAGAGGUCAGCACUAGGCUGCUUGGCUUGCCUGGCAUGCAGAUUGAUUUCUGAGUUCGAUUCCCCGGGCCAUCAGAGCAGUAGUAAGAGGGGGGGAAAAAAGGCUGUUUCCAAAUACAAAAGCAUGUAUGUGUUUGAGUGUGUAGUUCUGUGUUGAGAUUUUCAAACUGCCUGUAGAUCAUGGCUGACACAGUUUGUGUGGAGGCGCCUCUGACUUCACCAUAACCUCUGCACCAAUGGGAAGUGCACACACUCGACAGCUGUCCCUUUUUGUGACAGUUGAGAAAUUUUGGUUAGUUGAUGGGGAUCUAGCACUCAAAUGACUUUCUCCCGGCAU
rnacentral:lncRNA from 1 species